CACGUGCCCUCCGUCCCAAAAUUAUUGUCUUAGAUUUGUCUAAAUAUAAAUGUAUCUAGUCACGUUUUAAUAAUUAGAUACAUCCGUUUCUAAACAAACCUAAGAGAAGAAUUUUGGGACGGAAGAAGUAAUUA
rnacentral:pre_miRNA from 1 species